AGUUUAACUCUGUACUGCUCUCGGUUUAAAUCCCUCCGUUCUCUGGGUUUAUUCUACAAACAUCUGCGUUGGAAUAAAGCUGCAGAAACACUCUGAGGAUAAAAAGCUGGAUUCAUGGGAUCUCUGGGGUCUUCACCUCCUCAGAAACCCGACCUCCCGUCUGAACGCCGGCCUCCCCUCUCCUGACAUCCAUUAGAGGGUCCCGUGGGAGGGGUCGGGACCUCCGCUCCGACAGGUAGCAUGGAGGGGGCGGGGCUUCACCUGAGGCAGGUGUGCGGCGGGGCGGAGGACAUUCUAGACGGCCGUUAUCUAAUCUGUUGUCUCCUAAUGAGCCUGGGAGACGUGGGUCUGCUGCCCGGCUCUUUGUGGCGCUGGGACUAAUUACAUCGAUGCGUUUAGCGGAGGACAAGCUCCGGCUUCAGGUGUCUGGUCUCGGGUUACCUGAGAAUCCCCCGUCGGACAGAGCCGCCUUGUUCCGGGGCCGUUUGAUCCGGAACAUUCCUGCCCGCUCAGGAGCUUCUCAGGAGGAUUAAACGGAGGGACGUCUUUAAAACGGCGGCAGAUCACCGGAUUGGAUGGCGAAAGCUGCAGACAAUCGCCGCUCUCAGGACUUAUUUCUCUCGUUUUACCUCCCAAGUGAGAAGAAAAACUUCCCGGAGGAACAGAGGAAUCCCACAAACAGUACAUUUAGUUCUGUGGUUUGACCUAAAAACUCCGUUUAUCCUGAAGUUCUGACCCUGUGACCUUUAAGCUUAGCUGUUUUUUCUGCACAUAAACCACAUUUUCACAGUUA